rnacentral:rRNA from 1 species
CUACGUGCCAGCAGCCGCGGUAAUACGUAGGUGGCAAGCGUUGUCCGGAAUUAUUGGGCGUAAAGCGCGCGCAGGCGGAUUGGUCAGUCUGUCUUAAAAGUUCGGGGCUUAACCCCGUGAUGGGAUGGAAACUGCCAAUCUAGAGUAUCGGAGAGGAAAGUGGAAUUCCUAGUGUAGCGGUGAAAUGCGUAGAUAUUAGGAAGAACACCAGUGGCGAAGGCGACUUUCUGGACGAAAACUGACGCUGAGGCGCGAAAGCCAGGGGAGCGAACGGGAUUAGAUACCCCGGUAGUCCUGGCCGUAAACGAUGGGUACUAGGUGUAGGAGGUAUCGACCCCUUCUGUGCCGGAGUUAACGCAAUAAGUACCCCGCCUGGGGAGUACGMCCGCAAGGUUGAAACUCAAAGGAAUUGACGGGGGCCCGCACAAGCGGUGGAGUAUGUGGUUUAAUUCGACGCAACGCGAAGAACCUUACCAGGUCUUGGCAU